CCUACGGGAGGCAGCAGUGAGGAAUAUUGGUCAAUGGCCGAGAGGCUGAACCAGCCAAGUCGCGUGAGGGAAGACGGCCCUACGGGUUGUAAACCUCUUUUGUCGGGGAGCAAAGAGAGGCACGUGUGACUCAUUGAGAGUACCCGAAGAAAAAGCAUCGGCUAACUCCGUGCCAGCAGCCGCGGUAAUACGGGGGAUGCGAUCGUUAUCCGGAUUUCUUGGGGUUAAAGGGUGCGCAGGCGGCGGUGCAAGUCAGCGGUCAAAUUGCGGGGCUUAACCCCGUACUGCCGUUGAAACUGCAUCCCUUGAGUGCGCGAGAAGUAUGCGGAAUGCGUGGUGUAGCGGUGAAAUGCAUAGAUAUCACGCAGAACUCC
rnacentral:rRNA from 1 species